rnacentral:rRNA from 1 species
UACCCACUCCCGGCACGGGGAGGUAGUGACGAAAAAUAACGAUACGGGACUCAUCCGAGGCCCCGUAAUCGGAAUGAGUACACUCUAAACCCUUUAACGAGGAUCAAUUGGAGGGCAAGUCUGGUGCCAGCAGCCGCGGUAAUUCCAGCUCCAAUAGCGUAUAUUAAAGUUGUUGCGGUUAAAAAGCUCGUAGUCGAAUCUGUGUCUCGCGCCGCCGGUUCAUCGCUCGCGGUGUUUAACUGGCGUGCCGCGGGACGUCCUGCCGGUGGGCCCCGUCCCUCCGGGGGCGGCCCAACUUAGAAUCCCGUGCCGGUGCUCUUCGCUGAGUGUCGGGACGGGCCGGCACGUUUACUUUGAACAAAUUAGAGUGCUUAAAGCAGGCUAAAACUUCGCCUGAAUAUUCUGUGCAUGGAAUAAUGGAAUAGGACCUCGGUUCUAUUUUGUUGGUUUUCGGAACCCCGAGGUAAUGAUUAAUAGGAACGGAUGGGGGCAUUCGUAUUGCGACGUUAGAGGUGAAAUUCUUGGAUCGUCGCAAGACGGACGGAAGCGAAAGCAUUUGCCAAAAACGUUUUCAUUGAUCAAGAACGAAAGUUAGAGGUUCGAAGGCGAUCAGAUACCGCCCUAGUUCUAACCAUAAACGAUGCCAGCUAGCGAUCCGCCGACGUUCCUCCGAUGACUCGGCGGGCAGCUUCCGGGAAACCAAAGCUUUUGGGUUCCGGGGGAAGUAUGGUUGCAAAGCUGAAACUUAAAGGAAUUGACGGAAGGGCACCACCAGGAGUGGAGCCUGCGGCUUAAUUUGACUCAACACGGGAAACCUCACCAGGCCCGGACACCGGAAGGAUUGACAGAUUGAGAGCUCUUUCUUGAUUCGGUGGGUGGUGGUGCAUGGCCGUUCUUAGUUGGUGGAGCGAUUUGUCUGGUUAAUUCCGAUAACGAACGAGACUCUAGCCUGCUAACUAGGCGUAUUUUCGACAUCUCAAAGGCCCCACGGCCCGGCGUUUUCGCGCCGCGGUCGCGCGCGGUUUUUACUGUCGGCGUACAAUCAAUUCUUCUUAGAGGGACAGGCGGCGUCUAGCCGCACGAGAUUGAGCAAUAACAGGUCUGUGAUGCCCUUAGAUGUUCUGGGCCGCACGCGCGCUACACUGAAGGAAUCAGCGUGUCCUCCCUGGCCGAGAGGCCCGGGUAACCCGCUGAACCUCCUUCGUGCUAGGGAUUGGGGCUUGCAAUUGUUCCCCAUGAACGAGGAAUUCCCAGUAAGCGCGAGUCAUAAGCUCGCGUUGAUUACGUCCCUGCCCUUUGUACACACCGCCCGUCGCUACUACCGAUUGAAUGAUUUAGUGAGGUCUUCGGACCGGUACGCGGCGGCGCUCCCGCGUCGCCGAUGUUGCUGGGAA